GGAUGCGAUCAUACCAGCACUAAAGCACCAGAUCCCAUCAGAACUCCGAAGUUAAGCGUGCUUGGGCGAGAAUAGUACUAGGAUGGGUGACCUCCUGGGAAGUCCUCGUGUUGCAUUCC
rnacentral:rRNA from 1 species